GGCAGUGUAGCUUAAUGGUGAAGUACUCAACCGGUAUCUGAGUGGUGCAGGUUCAAGUCCUGUGGCUGUCU
rnacentral:tRNA from 1 species